CCUACGGGAGGCAGCAGUGAGGAAUAUUGGUCAAUGGGCGCUAGCCUGAACCAGCCAAGUAGCGUGAAGGAUGACUGCCCUAUGGGUUGUAAACUUCUUUUAUAUAGGAAUAAAGUGCAGUAUGUAUACUGCUUUGCAUGUACCUUAUGAAUAAGGAUCGGCUAACUCCGUGCCAGCAGCCGCGGUAAUACGGAGGAUCCGAGCGUUAUCCGGAUUUAUUGGGUUUAAAGGGCGCGUAGGCGGGUUGUUAAGUCAGUUGUGAAAGUUUGCGGCUCAACCGUAAAAUUGCAAUUGAUACUGGCAGCCUUGAGUACAGUAGAGGUAGGCGGAAUUCGUGGUGUAGCGGUGAAAUGCUUAGAUAUCACGAAGAACUCCGAUUGCGAAGGCAGCCUGCUGGACUGUAACUGACGUUGAUGCUCGAAAGUGUGGGUAUCAAACAGGAUUAGAUACCCGAGUAGUC
rnacentral:rRNA from 1 species